CUGUGAAGGUGGCCUGUGAGGGUUGCUGGAGGUAUCAGAAGUGCGAAUGCUGACAUAAGUAACGAUAAAGCGGGUGAAAAGCCCGCUCGCCGGAAGACCAAGGGUUCCUGUCCAACGUUAAUCGGGGCAGGGUGAGUCGACCCCUAAGGCGAGGCCGAAAGGCGUAGUCGAUGGGAAACGGGUUAAUAUUCCCGUACUUGGUGUUACUGCGAAGGGGGGACGGAGAAGGCUAUGUUGGCCGGGCGACGGUUGUCCCGGUUUAAGCGUGUAGGUGUGUGUUCCAGGUAAAUCCGGUUCACUUUAACACUGAGGCGUGAUGACGAGGCACCACGGUGCUGAAGCAACAAAUGCCCUGCUUCCAGGAAAAGCCUCUAAGCAUCAGGUAACAUCAAAUCGUACCCCAAACCGACACAGGUGGUCAGGUAGAGAAUACCAAGGCGCUUGAGAGAACUCGGGUGAAGGAACUAGGCAAAAUGGUGCCGUAACU
rnacentral:rRNA from 1 species